CAUGAUGCACGCCUUGAUAGCUCUACCUCAAGUCGACGCACGCAAUGCCAUUCCUUCCCUUGCUGGGAUGCCUAGGUGCCAUGGCGACACCAUGACAACUAUGCUCCUAACUAGUGUAACAAUACUUAUCGCUUGAAAUUGAUAUUGAGUCAAAAAAUAACUUUCCGAAACACAUGUCACUACCUCAACUUUAAACCUUGGUGGGAACAAAAGAUACAUAUCCUAUGAUGCUUUCGCAAGACUUUCCCUCCCACCACUUUUUGUGUUAAUAAGAGACUCUAAACCCUAGAAUUUAAGCACAAAGCUUAGAUCCUAGUUCUACAUAUCUAUCAAUUAAUAACAAAAUUCAUUCUACAAAGGUUGUCCUACAUCACCAAUGGUUACAGCUAAAAGUGGGCUUCACAUCCAAAGUGCUUAACUUCAUAUUUUUUCAAGUCUCCCUUCCUAGUACAACUACCAACCUGGCUACUACAAUGCUGGUUCAAAUCUUCCCCAUACUUUUACAUCCUCAGCCUUGAUAAGUAUUCUCAAAGCUUUUAUUGGUCUCACAGUCUCACCCUUAUUUGGUUGUGUUAACCAUUUGGCUCGAAGUGCCAUAGACAGGUAUGGCAUGUGAAUAAAGGAGAUA
rnacentral:lncRNA from 1 species